AUUCAUACAAUGAUCUGUCGUAACUAUAACAGCUCCGAUAAAUAAUAUAAGUAUAUCUUAACUCUAAAUGAAAAUUCGCCUUUUGUUUAUCAUAAGCAAAUUAAUAUUGAUAGAAGAUCUGGCUUAAUAUUUCUGCUGUGAGCUGUAGGAAAUAAAAUUAUCUUAUCAAAAGUUUGUAGUAGUUAAAAAUUGAAACAAUUUUUAAUAUUUAACAUACAGCCAACAUAAAACUGCCACAACUUCAUGCAUAAUUAGUUAUACAAGUUUGAUUGUAUAUACAUUAUUGACAUCAAUUUUUAAAUGUUUGAUAAACAGUUUUAAAACGUUAUUAAAACCUAUAAAAAUCACAUGAAAUUUUAAAAUUGAUAUAAUUUUGCUUGAGUCUAGAAAAAGAAUAAAUUAAAAAAUGAGUGGUAGCGAUAGUGACAGUGAUAGUAACAAAAUUAAGAACUGGCCAUUUAAAUGUACUUGUAAAUGUGGUGCUGCAAAUUGUUUGGAUGAUUCUUAUACAGACUGUGAUGACACUGAAUCUGAGGAAUCAUUUUCUAUAGAUAACAAGAAAACUAUAUUUAUAUCUAUUUUUAAUAACAAGACUCAAAGAAAUAAAAAUCUUAUAAGUGAUACUGUUGAGAUAAAGAAUUAUCGUGAACAGUAUCAAAAAUUACCAUUGAAAAAUGUUAAUAAUAUAAAAAAGAUUUGGGCUGAUGUUAAAGUAGACAUGCCAUUAUUAGGACAAGUACCUUUAAAAUGCAUUGAUAAUGAACUAACUGAAGUUAAAAAAGACAAAUAUAGUCAUAAAAAGAAAUUAAAAAAGCCUACUCAUUUGAUGCAGAACAAAUUAUCUGCUGAUUCUCCAGCAAAUAAUUCUCAACAAUCUGUUGUUGCUGAUAAAUCUCAUAAAAUAGUACAACCAGUAGUGAAGCAAGUACAUGAAAAACUACCCCAAGCUCAAAUAAAUAAAAAUAAUAACAAAGAUACCAAAAUAAAGAAAGCAAACGAAUCAAUUUUAAAAGGGGCUACAAAAAAUACUACUAGUAAUGAAAAUAAAAAUCCAAAGAAUGAACCAAAACUUUCAGACAAAUUAACUCAAUCUGUCAAACCACACAUAAUUAAAGACAACUUAAAACCCAAUACAGGUAAAACUGUAAACUCUAAUUCAAAUGCAUUAACAAGCAUUCAGCCUAUUAUAGAAAAUAAUAGUACAAAUAAUAUUUCAAAUAUAUCAAAUAAAAAAUCAAAUAAUCGAAAUAAUUCUGUGAAGGUUGAUACAAUAAAAACUCCUGUCAAAGCUGUUGUUGAAAAUAAAAUUAAAAAGAAUGAAGAAAAUAAAAAGAAAACUAUUGCAGAUUCAUGUUUACCAAAAGAAGAAUCCAAAGAAGAAAUGAAGAUUGCAAAAAUUAAUCUAAGCACACAGUCGUAUACAAAAUCUAUUUCAAAAGUUAAGAGUGAAAACUCUAAUUCAGGUAUAUCAAAUAUGAAAUCUAGUGCAGAAGAUAAGACUGUAAAAGUUGAUAAUUUAGUAAAAUCAGAAGCAAAAAUUAAUACAGAAAAUAGAGAAAAAACUAAUUUAGUUGAGCUAAAUUCAAAAUCUAAUACAGAAAACAAAAUUGUAAAAGAUGAAUCUAUCAAUUUAAAUGUGGAAUCUGAUGUAGAAAGUGAAACUUUAAAUAACAAUUUAAAUAAAAAGUUAAAAUUAGAGGUGAUUGAAUUUAUAAUACCUAAUUCAAAUAAAAUCAUACCUUCAUCUAACAGAAAUGAAAAAGAAAAAUCUGCAAAUGAUAAAAAUUUGCAAUCAAAUAAAAAGCUUUCUAAGAAGCAAAAGAAAAAAAUGCGUCAAAAGGAAAAGAAUUUAGGGGCAAAUGUUAAAGACAUAUCAACUUCCAAUUCAAGAGAUUUAUCCAUGUCUAGUUCUAAGUCAUUUGAUGAUAAAAAGUCAAAAAAUAAUUCAAAUAAAAAUGUUAAAGAGGAAGCUGCUAAGGCUAAGAAAAAGGAACUUAAUAAUACAGACAAAGACAAGACUAAAAAUAAGAAACUCAUUGAACUCGAACAUUCAGAACAAGAUACAGAAGAAUUUGAAAUUGAGGAAAUGAAUAGCAUCAGUAAUGAUAAUCUGGAUUUAUUAACAGAUACAAAACAUAUGCCAACAUUUAUUGCUGACAUUAUUAAGCGCAAAAAAAAAAAAAACAAGCCAAAACAAAGCCAGUAACUGAAACACAAACAAAAAAUAACAGUAAAAAGAAUAAUGAGCAAGAAAAAUUAAAAAUUUAUAAUGAACAAGAGUUUACUACUGUUAUUACGAGAAAACGUCAACACUUGCCAAUUUCUGAUAAUAAAGAUUGUAUAAUCUAUAGUGAAAAAUAUGCAGAACAAGGUGCUAAACUGAUCCUUGAUAACAAUCUCAUGGGAGCACUACAAUGUAUUACUGCAGCUAUCGACUAUAAUCAGUCUGACUACAGACAUUAUUUAAAUCGUUGUUAUUGUUUUUUAAGAAUGAAGCAACCUGUAUUCGCUUUAGCAGAUGCUCAAUACGUAAUUCGUUUGUGCACUAAUAUUGGACAUCUAUUUAUAGCAAAUUUAAGAGCUGGACAAGCUGCCUAUGCUCUUCAGGAUUACAAGCAAGCUGAGUAUUUUUUAAAAGAAGCUACUCGUAUGGAUCCAGAAAAUUACCAUGCUCAAAGAGAAUUGCUUCGUGUAAAAAUUUCACACAUUAUAAGCCUUGGAUUCAAUGAGAAAGAUGCUUUAAUGGCAUUACAAAAGUAUCCUUCCGUACUGGAAGCUAUUAGUUAUUUAAAUAAAUCUCAGAAGAAUUCAAGUAUUUCCAAGUUUAACAAUAACUUUGACAUUCGCGAUUAUAAUUGUGAUGAUAUGGUGUUUUCAUCAGGUGACGAAGAAGAAUCUGAGAAUUUUGAAACAUUUAAUAGGAUGUUAAACUAUCAGCCUGGCAAAGUAAAAAUUCUGCAUCUUGUGGCUAAACCAGUAAAAUCUGAACUUUUAGGAGGAUUUAGCAAUUGUGACAAAGAUAAUAAACUACAUAUUAACCUGAAACCAAAAAGAAAAUUCGUUCCAACUAACAAAUCUGCUAAUGAUAAAGCAAUAUGGGUUGGUAGCUUGACAAAUGAUAUUACUGAGCAAAUGUUGAAAAAGAAAUUUAAGCAAUUUGGUAACGUCAUCUCUGUCUACCGUCCAUGUAACGAGGCAUAUGCUUUUAUUAAUUUUGAAAAAAGUGAAGAUGUGACUAAUACUUUAAUAAAUACCUCUGCUCACGAAAUCGCUGGUAUAAAGUUGGCCGUCAGAUCGGCUUUGCGUCAGAAGUAAUAUUUCUGAGACGAAAGGUUGUUCUCCUAGUAUAUAAUAUCCAAACUAUAAUCCAUGCUUUUUUUGAAGUUUUUAAUCGUUUAUAAAUUGAACAAAUGUGUAUUAUUUCUUAAAAAACCAAAGUUAUUUAUUGAUUUAAAAUAGUUUUCAAUUUCUUUAAUGUAACUCAAAUAUAAUUCUCAUAAAUAUAAGACGAGGUGUACCAAUAUGUGUAUCUAGAAAGUCGUUGAUGUUUAAUGUUUACAAAUAUUAUUUAUACAAUAUUACGUACUUUAGCAUGUUGUAUGAUAAUAAAUAUGUAAUUUAUACAUUUAACUUGAA